rnacentral:rRNA from 1 species
UUUGAUCAUGGCUCAGAUUGAACGCUGGCGGGAUGUUUACAUGCAAGUCGAACGGCAGCACGGACUUCCCGGUCUGGUGGCGAGUGGCGAACGGGUGAGUAAUGUAUCGGAACGUGCCUAGUAGCGGGGGAUAACUACGCGAAAGCGUAGCUAAUACCACAUACGCCCCUUCGGGAAAAGCGAAGCCCGGGCCUCGCACUAUUAGAGCAGCCGAUAUCGGAUUAGCUAGUUGGUGGGGGUAACGGCUCACCAAGGCGACGAUCCGUAGCUAGUUCAGAGGACGACCAGCCACACUGGGACUGAGACACGGCCCAGACUCCUACGAGGCAGCAGUGGGGAAUUUUGGACAAUGGAAACCUGAUCCAGCCAUCCCGCGUGUGCGAUGAAGGCCUUCCGGGUUGUAAAGCACUUUUGGCAGGAAAGAAACGGCACGGGAUAAUACCCCGUGCAACUGACGAAACACCUGCAGAAUAAGCACCGGCUAACUACGUGCCAGCAGCCGCGGUAAUACGUAGGGUGCAAGCGUUAAUCGGAAUUACUGGGCGUAAAGCGUGCGCAGGCGGUUCGGAAAGAAAGAUGUGAAAUCCCAGAGCUUAACUUUGGAACUGCAUUUUUAACUACCGAGCUAGAGUAUUGUCAGAGGAGGUGGAAUUCCACCGUGUAGCAGUGAAAUGCGUAGAUAUGCGGAGGAACACCGAUGGCGAAGGCAGCCUCCUGGGAUAACACUGACGCUCAUGCACGAAAGCGUGGGGAGCAAACAGGAUUAGAUACCCUGGUAGUCCACGCCCUAAACAUUGUCCAACUAGCUGUUGGGGCCUUCGGGCCUUGGUAGCGCAGCUAACGCGUGAAGUUGACCGCCUGGGAAGUACGGUCGCAAGAUUAAAACUCAAAGGAAUUGACGGGGACCCGCACAAGCGGUGGAUGAUGUGGAUUAAUUCGAUGCAACGCGAAAAACCUUACCUACCCUUGACAUGUCUGGAAUCCCGAAGAGAUUUGGGAGUGCUCUUAAAGAGAACCGGAACACAGGUGCUGCAUGGCUGUCGUCAGCUCGUGUCGUGAGAUGUUGGGUUAAGUCCGCAACAGGCGCAACCCUUGUCAUUAGUUGCUACGAAGGGCACUCUAAUGAGACUGCCGGUGAUGACCGGAGGAAGGUGGGGAUGACGUCAGAGUCCUCAUGGCCCUUAUGGGUAGGGCUUCACACGUCAUACAAUGGUCGGGACAGAGGGGUCGCCAACCCGCGAGGGGAGCCAAUCCCAGAAACCCGAUCGUAGUCCGGAUCGCAGUCUGCAACUCGACUGCGUGAAGUCAGAAUCGCUAGUAAUCGCGGAUCAGCAUGUCGCGGUGAAUACGUUCCCGGGUCUUGUACACACCGCCCGUCACACCAUGGGAGUGGGUUUUACCAGAAGUAGUUAGCCUAACCGUAAAGGGAGGGCGAUUACUACAGUAGGAUUCAUGACUGGGGUGAAGUCGUAACAAGGUAG